rnacentral:rRNA from 1 species
GACGAACGCUGGCGGCGUGCCUAAUACAUGCAAGUUGAGCGCUGAAGGAAGGUACUUGUACCGACUGGAUGAGCAGCGAACGGGUGAGUAACGCGUGGGGAAUCUGCCUUUGAGCGGGGGACAACAUUUGGAAACGAAUGCUAAUACCGCAUAAAAACUUUAAACACAUGUUUUAAGUUUGAAAGAUGCAAUUGCAUCACUCAAAGAUGAUCCCGCGUUGUAUUAGCUAGUUGGUGAGGUAAAGGCUCACCAAGGCGAUGAUACAUAGCCGACCUGAGAGGGUGAUCGGCCACAUUGGGACUGAGACACGGCCCAAACUCCUACGGGAGGCAGCAGUAGGGAAUCUUCGGCAAUGGACGAAAGUCUGACCGAGCAACGUCGCGUGAGUGAAGAAGGUUUUCGGAUCGUAAAACUCUGUUGGUAGAGAAGAACGUUGGUGAGAGUGGAAAGCUCAUCAAGUGACGGUAACUACCCAGAAAGGGACGGCUAACUACGUGCCAGCAGCCGCGGUAAUACGUAGGUCCCGAGCGUUGUCCGGAUUUAUUGGGCGUAAAGCGGGCGCAGGUGGUUUAUUAAGUCUGGUGUAAAAGGCAGUGGCUUAACCAUUGUAUGCAUUGGAAACUGGUAGACUUGAGUGCAGGAGAGGAGAGUGGAAUUCCAUGUGUAGCGGUGAAAUGCGUAGAUAUAUGGAGGAACACCGGUGGCGAAAGCGCUCUCUGGCCUGUAACUGACACUGAGCUCGAAAGCGUGGGGGAGCAAACAGGAUUAGAUACCUGGUAGUCACGCCGUAAACGAUGAGUGCUAGAUGUAGGGAGCUAUAAGUUCUCUGUAUCGCAGCUAACGCAAUAAGCACUCCGCCUGGGGAGUACGACCGCAAGGUUGAAACUCAAAGGAAUUGACGGGGGCCCGCACAAGCGGUGGAGCGUGUGGUUUAAUUCGAAGCAACGCGAAGAACCUUACCAGGUCUUGACAUACUCGUGCUAUUCCUAGAGAUAGGAAGUUCCUUCGGGACACGGGAUACAGGUGGUGCAUGGUUGUCGUCAGCUCGUGUCGUGAGAUGUUGGGUUAAGUCCCGCAACGAGCGCAACCCCUAUUGUUAGUUGCCAUCAUUAAGUUGGGCACUCUAACGAGACUGCCGGUGAUAAACCGGAGGAAGGUGGGGAUGACGUCAAAUCAUCAUGCCCCUUAUGACCUGGGCUACACACGUGCUACAAUGGAUGGUACAACGAGUCGCGAGACAGUGAUGUUUAGCUAAUCUCUUAAAACCAUUCUCAGUUCGGAUUGUAGGCUGCAACUCGCCUACAUGAAGUCGGAAUCGCUAGUAAUCGCGGAUCAGCACGCCGCGGUGAAUACGUUCCCGGGCCUUGUACACACCGCCCGUCACACCACGGGAGUUGGGAGUACCCGAAGUAGGUUGCCUAACCGCAAGGAGGGCGCUUCCUAAGGUAAGACCGAUGACUGGGGUG